rnacentral:tRNA from 1 species
AUGUGGCUCAGUGGUAGAGUGCCUGCCAAGCAUGUAGGAGGCCCUGGGUUGGAUCCCAGCAU